UACGAGGGGGGCAAGCGUUGUUCGGAAUUAUUGGGCGUAAAGCGCGCGCAGGCGGUUCUUUAAGUCUGAUGUGAAAGCCCACGGCUCAACCGUGGAGGGUCAUUGGAAACUGGAGAACUUGAGUACAGAAGAGGAAAGCGGAAUUCCACGUGUAGCGGUGAAAUGCGUAGAGAUGUGGAGGAACACCAGUGGCGAAGGCGGCUUUCUGGUCUGUAACUGACGCUGAGGCGCGAAAGCGUGGGGAGCAAACAGG
rnacentral:rRNA from 1 species